UAUGUUUUAGUAUAAAAUGUAUAAAAGAUUUUGAUUCUUUUGGAGAUAGUUUUAAUCUAUCAAAUGUAA
rnacentral:tRNA from 1 species